rnacentral:rRNA from 1 species
UGGGGAAUUUUGGACAAUGGGCGAAAGCCUGAUCCAGCAAUGCCGCGUGUGUGAAGAAGGCCUUCGGGUUGUAAAGCACUUUUGUCCGGAAAGAAAUCCUUGGCUCUAAUACAGUCGGGGGAUGACGGUACCGGAAGAAUAAGCACCGGCUAACUACGUGCCAGCAGCCGCGGUAAUACGUAGGGUGCAAGCGUUAAUCGGAAUUACUGGGCGUAAAGCGUGCGCAGGCGGUUUGCUAAGACCGAUGUGAAAUCCCCGGGCUCAACCUGGGAACUGCAUUGGUGACUGGCAGGCUAGAGUAUGGCAGAGGGGGGUAGAAUUCCACGUGUAGCAGUGAAAUGCGUAGAGAUGUGGAGAAUACGAUGGCGAAGGCAGCCCCCUGGGCCAAUACUGACGCUCAUGCACGGAAGCGUGGGGAGCAAAACAGGAUUAGAUACCCUGGUAGUCCACGCCCUAAAACGAUGUCAACUAGUUGUUGGGGAUUCAUUUCCUUAGUAACGUAGCUAACGCGUGAAGUUGACCGCCUGGGGAGUACGUCGCAAGAUUAAAACUUAAAGGAAUUGACGGGGUCAUAGCUGUUUCCU